AAAGUUCCAAAUGCGUCAGUGAAUUGAUGUUGGCUGUGUGGGCAAUGCUAUGCAAUAAACUGAGAGAGUUAACGAUUUAAAAAGUGAAUAAAUGAAAUUAGCGGAAGAAAGUGGGACGGAAAUGUAGAGACAGGGGGAAGGGCAAUGGAAGAAUGAACUACAAAUGAGAGCGAUGGCGGUGGCAGGUUGGCACAGUGCCAUCCAGUCAGGACUGAAGCAGGGGCGGGCAUGGGCAUGGGCGAAGGGGCGAGGAGAAUAAGAGUGAAAGACGAAGAGAAACAGACCUCCACAGUGCUUCUAUGAUGCCACCUUGGCACAGGCAGAGUGGGGCGUCAUGAACGGGAAACCGGGCAGGGAAAAGGACGAUAUGGAAAAGACCCGGGUAAAGCGGAGCUUUGAACCACAGCGUGCCAGCCAGCGGGUAGUGUGCCAGUUUGUCCUCAUGGCAUACCCGAAGCACUUAAAGCAGAUGGCGGAGAAUUGUUGCAGUCAAAAACAAAGGGACUCACCUCAGAGGAUUUGCCUCUAAUCACUGUCUGCUCGGACAAAGCCAAGAGGAAGUGCCCGGGCAACGGUUGCCAGUGGUUGUGAUGGCAUCUUUUGAUGGUUUCGGGGCAAAGGAAGGUGGCAUGCUGCCAAGGCAACGCAUUUGUAAACAGAAACAUCCAUAUGUUGAGCGGAACAUUUCAAGCGCCUUGGAUAUUUUUGGCAAAAACAUUACUUCAAGGGAAAGGCUAAAAAGAUAAAUAGCAUCACGCCAAACAAAAACCACGAGGCAUUUACGGGCGCUGUCAAAAGCUGUACUAGCAGGUGGAGAAUUGCAGCCCAAAAAUAGUAACAACGUGGUACAACUACAGUCACAAAUGGAGCUUUUGUGAGUGCGUGGCUCAAGAAGCCCAUUGCCUUGCUGCCAACUCGACCUUGUGCCAGCUGCUGCACUGAAGGGAAGGUUGCUGGACAUUACAUGGAAUGAAGAGAAGGGAAUCUUCCAUUUUUACUUAGCGAGGAAGAGAAAUAAUGAGCAAAAGAAGUAAAGGAUGUGGAAGGAAUUUGUGCUUAACGAAGAACAGUGGGAGUGGGUGGACGGAGAUGAUGAAGAGCGUCUUUCCUGCUCUUGCACACCUGGGAUGUUCUUAAAGGGAAAUCCCCUCAGACUGCUAUAUGUGUAAAAGGGAGGGAUGUGUUGGCAUCAUCUCCAGGGUGUCAAGCUGUGCUUCUCCACUGCCAUCCAGGGAGGGUGCUGCUGGAGUCAUCAAGGGCGGGCAACAGCCUGGGCAUCUCAUCUGCAGCUAAUUAACAGCCACACACUAAUUCUAACAGCCGAUCAUAAUUAGUGAUUUAAUCGCUCGUCAGCGCUCUCCCCCCGCCCCCCUUAAAUUGCGCCUCCUAUUUGGACACGUGCGGAUAAGCCAAGGAACGCUUGAUCCCAGCCCCCACCUCCCUCCACUCUUCCUCGAUCCGUCUUUUCUUCAUCCUUGGCUCCAGACUCCAGUGGGAUCUUAAUUAAGCCUGGGCUUCAUUAUGCAAAUGGAGUACAAUAAGCGACAGCAGAGGUGGAGUUGGAUAUGGACUGAAAAAGAGUGAUGGUAGUGGAAAGCUGGAAAUGGAAAACAUGUGAAAACCUACAAAAAUGUUCUUCUCAUGUUACUGUGUUGCAGCAAUUGUGUGUCAUUCUAACAUGGAUUUCUUCAGUGCUUGCGCUACUACCACAUGUUGUCUGAGAGCAAACACCUCACGCGAUGAAGCUCCAUAGCUGCUGCCAAGGGGAAAACUUCCCUGAAACAACACUGGAUAUUCAGAAUGUCAUCUCUCACAAAGAAAACUCUCAAGGGAAUCAUGACAAUGAACCUCUUAAUAUCACCAGUUGGCUGGAUACGGAGAGAGAUGGUAGAGAUAGGGGGAAAGAAAAGGAGGCAGACAGAAACACUGACAGUGGCAGCAGCAUGGCAGCUAAUGUCAUCUCAGUUUAAUCAUCGCAUAGGAUCAUGGGGUUCAUGAAAAUUCAUUUGCAUAUCAUUAAAUGGAGAGAGGUUAUUUGGUGCGGGCCAACAAAAUGGGAUUGGAAGAAGGAAGGGGGUGAAAAAAAGGAAUAGUCGGGCUCGUUAUUAAACUGCAAUGUUUUAUAGUCUGCCAGCCGAUUCAUUUAAUUUGAACGUAAUUAAAAUGUGUCAGGCUCAAUCAAUCAUGCCAACAGGGAUACUAUCAAUGUAUCAGUCUGAAAAAGGACUAAUCAGAGGAUAUGCACUUGGACACUUUCCAAUAACAGUCACUGAGAGUGGGCCAUAAUCCUCUGGAAGCUUGACCAGUCUCCUUCUUCAGUCGGUUAUGCAAAAGUGCAAAUACUGUGUAUUAUGUAAAAGCUGUGAAAGAUUGUGACAUGUUGUGCAUUGCUUAAUGAGAGGGUGUGCCACUUUGUUCAAUGUUGUCAUAUUGCCCUUCAUGUUUUCCUACUGUUGUAUUUUUGGUGGAAGAAUUUCUCAGGUAUGAAAUGGAGCCGUCUGCACCUGGACAUUCCAUACAAAACAUGCAUCUAUUUGGAACCACCAGGCGGACAUUUCGCGUAACUAGUUUGACAACAGAUGAUUUAAACUACAUUUCUAGUCUCUACUAAUACUCUACCACUGUGAAAUAUGAUCAUUGUGACUGCAGUAAUUAAAAUAUACAAGCAUUAUUGCUUAGGCUUUUGGUUUUGUCAGUGGCUCCAGGUCAACUCACCCCUUUCCCAAGUCAUAUCCCCAUUUCUUACACACAUUGCCAUUUUGCACUCUCUUAUUUCUGUAACAAAUAUAUGGAAACUAUGUUGUGUAAUACAUUUUAAAGCUGUAAAGUAUUUUGUUAAAUUAUGAUGAGAAAUGGUCAUAAAAAAUACUCAUAUUUCACAUUAUCUCAUACACUUUUAUUUUUAAAAUGGAAUAAGAUAAUCCUGACACCACUCUUUCUAUUUCCUGUGGUUUUCACCCCAGUGUUCCCUGUUGAAUUGAUGAAAUAUGACAGAUUAUGACCACUAAUCAAACCAAAGGAGGUUUAGGCAAGCUCCUGCUAGUAAAUAUUCUUAAUUGGACUCAUGUCAUUAUUUUACUACAGUUUGAGUUGAAAAGACAUAAUAUUUUGACUGUAUAUUUAUUGGUUGUCAAAGGGAGUACAAAUCACCUCCUAUAUAGGUACACACUGAUGUGUUGUUGAUAUAAAACUUUCCUUAGAAGAAGAUUCUAUUUCAUAACUAAUAAGUCGGGUUUGAAAUGGUCAAAACUACCAGAGUAUGAAAUAUUUUAGAAGAAUGAUGUGCCCCAAGUGGGAAUCGCAAUCAAAAUAAGCCAAAAUAUUGUGUAAUAGGCUUUUUUUCAGAAAAUUAACAUGUAAGUUAUACAGUAAAUUUGAGAUUUUCUUAUACAUUUCAUAAUUAAAAUGCUGAACUACAAAGAGAAAUAAACUCACGCUGCAUGGUUUGAGUACAUGAGUAUAAAAUGGUUUGUUUACAGGUGUGAAACAGAAGUAGAAAAGGACAAGAAAUGUUAAGCAUGUACAAAAUGGGGAGUACACAUUCGCAAAGGAGGAAAUUCAUCCUAAGCUCGCAGUUUCUUUUUGUCCAAAGUGUCCAAGAUGUCCAUGUUUGGCUUGUAUGCGGAUGCCAGUGUGCAUUCCUCAUUUGCAUAAGUGAUAUAAUUAGGCCGCCCUUUUUGAAUGGAGAUCAGUUUGGCAACCUGGCAAUCACUCUCACAUACAUACAGUCAUGCACACACAUAAACACACUGCAACACGCGCUCACUGGCAAGACCUCCCCACACCCCAUUCCCAAUAUCACAGAGGGUCUGUUGUCUGUGAGCAAAGAGUGUAAAGAUUAACAUAAUCCAGCUAAUAAGUGUGAGUAAUAUUCACACAGAGACGCGUGGCAUAGACACUCUCCUGCUGAUGCGUAUUUGUAUCUCAUUAUACAUGUAAAGUUCUGUGGCCGCCUGCCAGUGGGGUAAUGGGGGGCUGGUUUAGCGUAGUGGGAGGCAUGGAAAAGGGUCGCCAAGUGUGGGUCACAACAAACAUGUGUAAGUUGUCCUCUCCUACUUUUGAGAAGAACCAGUAUAGUUUUUAUAGAACUAACAGGUAAGUAAAAGAGAAGCAGAAAUAAUAAUAAUAAAAAAAAAAACUGCUAUUCCUUUUUUUAUUUCUACAAAGGUGCAGUGUCAGUUUUUAAGCAGAAUGGAGGAAUUAUAAAUAGUGUAUUUGCGCUUACAGGCUAGCUCUACAACAUGAUUGAUUGGGAUGGUGUGACGACCAUUAAAAAGUCAUUUAAAAGAUGGAUAGGGACCACAUUUCCAAAUAAAAACCACUUUAUACCUGAUGAAGUGCUGAACAAACUCUUCUGCAGAGACAUUUACUGAUUACUAUUGAGGUAUGAGUGAGUGUAAUGUGGGAAGCGAUGUAUCAGCUGUGGGAGACACCAGGGCGACAGUCUGCAACACAGUUAGGCAGUGAAUGGUGACACUGACUUUUAUUAAAGCUAAAUUUGAAUUUUGUUUCAAUUAAAAGAAGGACAGAUAUGUAAAAAAAAAAAAGAAGCAUGGAUUGAAAAAAAUGGCACAAACAACCUUACCGCUGCAUGCUUAUUAAAUUCUAUCUGAUAGUGCCAUGGCUUCAAAUGAAAGCUUAUCCUCAGAGGCAGAAGGUGUGUCUGCAUUUGAGCUCUGUCUCUUUAAGUCGGGGCUCCACCACCGCAGCAUGCUUUGGGAUUCAUGCAUAAACAUGAGCUGGCCUUUCAAGCUCUCUCCUCACAUAACCAAUCUAAAUCUAAAUGAGCCCCCACUACAGAUACACCAGCAGGCAAUAAUUUCACGCCGUCCCUCAAAGCCCCCCCCAUCCCACCACCUUCCACCUACGCUCCAUACACACACAUGCACUUGUACCCCCUUUUUGCCGCAACCCCACCAGCUGCACAGUGCUCAUUUGAUUAAGAGGGGAGGACAGGGAGAAGGAGAAAUGGUGGGGGAUCACUUUAUCAUGAUGACUUUCUAAGAUGGCUAUCAUCCAAUACGAAGCUAUCUCAAAGCCCUCUUGUGUGUUUACUUUGCUUUUGUUCUCCACAUGUAUCUGUUUUCUCUUCCCUCCUUGCCGCCACAAUCAGAUCAUAACAGCUUCAACGGUUACAUUUUCCGCUGUCGCAUUUCUGUAUAGCAGCUAAAUGAACAUCCCUCUUUCAAGAGAAUAUGAGGCAAAUACCAGUUAGGAUUUGACUUGUGACUGAGAGAAAAGCAGCAUUCCAGUGCUGCUGCUUCAACCAGAUGGAAAGUUUGUUUGUUCUUUUCAAGAGAAAAAAAAAAAAACAGAAUAAAAUCCACUGACUUACACCGUGCUCUUUGAAAUGUUUCAUAUGAAUAUCAGUUUGUCCUAAAGGUGCUGCAGUAUGCAAUUUUUCCUCCCCUUUCUCCCAGAGUCGUAAAACACAUUAUCAUCAUCAGCAGCAGGAGCAGCAAUGUAAUUCAUCCGAGGUCGUUAAUAUUCAUCAUAUCAUUUAGUCACAAAGGAAACUCAUCUGGCUGAAUGUCAGAGAUGUAAUUAAUGAAGUGACCCUAGAGGUCAAGGCUCCAUUCACGAAAUGCCUUCCACACUGAGCACACACACUCUUACACACACACACACAGAGAAUUGCACACCAAAUGCUUUUCAGCCAGAUGUACCCCAAUACCAAACCCAGCACCAGAGACCCAUAAGAGAGCUGAUGCCGUUACAUAGAACAACAUUCAUAAAAUUACUUUUCAAAGUGAGACUAAAGGGAUGACACCAGAGCGUGCACCAAAGCAGACUUUAUUUAGCUCAGUGGAGUAAGGAGGGGAGGGGAAGAGGGAAACACACAGCAACAUGGGAAAACUGGGGUGGGAGUAGAAUAGAGACACACUAAACCACUGGAGCAGGACAUAAGGACAGGUGCACAUCACAGGUAUCUUUUUGGUCAUCACUAUGGCAACAACAUAUCCAGAAACAAAAUUUAAAGAACUGUUUUACCUACAGCAAGGUUAACAGAGUCUCUUCAUCAUUAAAGGACUCCAAUAUGUACAUCUUACAGUCACUACGAUCAAGAGAAUACGAGAAAAAUUAAAUCUGAAAUCAUCGGUAUAGAACAAAAAAACUGCCUUGGUGGUAUUUGGAAUGCACAUUUCUGCACAGAAGAAAGCUCAUUGGUAUUGUCGUAAACAUUGGUUAGUUUAAGAACAAAAACAUGACAGAGAUUUUCAGUCCAUAUCCUUUGGAAACUUGGCUGUGAAGUCAGUCGGAGUCAGCAAAACUGUUUGAGCUGGACUUACUGACCAAAGACUUUGCAACACAGAAAGACACCAUACAAAUGGAGGUUUUGGGGCUUAACUCCUUCAAACAUCUACGCAGUAUCUUCAUAUUCACUGAGAAGUUAAUGCCCAAAUAAAGUUUAUCUUAAACUGGAGGCCUGAAAAAAAAUAAUCCUAAUAACAUGAAAUCUAUUUUUGUCUUAUGAGUUAUACGAUACUGAUCAAGAAAACCUGAUGGAAUUGAGCCCCACAAAUCUACAGUUGAAACCAGAUGUUUGCAUAUGCUGUAUAAAAAGAUGCCUGACCUUUUUUUCUUUCUCAGUGUCUGACAUUUAAUCAGACUAAAUCUGUGCUGCUUUAAGUUCAGCGGGAUUACAAAAAUUGCUUGGAUUUGCCAAAUGCCAGAGUAAUGAGAGAGAAUUUGUUUGCUUCGUGGAAAAAAAACUAAAGGAAUCAUUCAGGAUAUAAAGAAAAUAAUUGGGAGCUCCAGAAGUCUGGUUCAUUCAAGGGUACAAGAUCCA